CAUCCAGCCUGAGGGCAGGACAAGGUAUAGGCUUCCUGGAGGUGGAAUAAUAAUUUCAUUUUCCCAGUUCACAUUAGUCAGCAUGAAUUACUGUUAGCGUGCCUACCACGUUAUAAUAAAGCCUACCAGAAGUGGAUCACUUAGGCUUCACGGUUCGGGUCUUGUGAAAUACCUUUCAUUCCUAUGGUACAUUAUUUUCACUGGGAGUUUUGAAAUCCCAGAAAUAGCCCUGGAAACCCCCGCUGGGGAGCAAUUUGGCGGGAAACCAGUUCCGUGGGUGCCUGCCCCAGAAGGACGCUCUCAGGAGGCUUUCGUGGCCUGAGCAACCCAGGCCUUGGCGCGCAGUGCACGUGGGCCCUGGCUUUGACGCGCUGGCAUUUCAAAGGGCACUUAGGAAAUUCUGAGAAGCCCCUCAGAUUAAGAUAAAUGAGGUUUUGUCAGUGAAACAGCCUUUUCAUUUCUUGUUAUCGAUUUUCACGUUUUCACAUCUUCAGAUGCGAUUUGCUAGCCCAGGGCCGCAUUCCAAGACACACAAACGUCAUUAAGACAGCCGUUUUAAAGACUGCCAUGUUUUAUUGAGGCAGACAGGACAAUAGAUAAACAUUUAAUCUGUUACACAUUGGCCUGGCAUGGGAGACGGGCUUGGGACCGUGUGACUCUGAGGCUCUCUCAUGUCUUUCCGGAAACCCUGACAAUGGCCUCACCAACUGCCCACAGAAACACUGGACCCGCCCUUGGCAAACACUUGCCAGUGUUUCUGAAAAGCAGCUUCUGGAAGCCUUUUUCCACUCCAGCUUCAGAGGUUACCCCAUCUUUCCUCAUUCGUCAUGAUAUUGGAGAAUACAAACGCUCACGGAACUGGGGGCAGUUGGCUUGAAAUAAUGGACAAUGACAAUGGUGACCGGGGAGCAUGCACUAAGCUAGGUUCCUGAGGCCACAGAACCCUCAUCUCGUCCACGCUCUGAGUCUUCGGUUAAUGCGGUGCGCUCGUGGGUGAUGGCAUUCUACGUGCUAUCUCUGAGCCUUGAGCUCUUGCAUCUUCGGUUCCCGCAGCUCAUUCCCAUAAUAUCCCUCUCUCACGUUUUGGAAUUACUUGUUGUCCAGACCCAUGACCAGGUCUGUCAUUGCCUGUGAGAGACCAAGCUCACCAGCAACCACCCUGAUCAGGGGACCUGCCAAAUUUCUUUCAUUCAUAAAACUCACCCAUCCAGAUUAAAUGGCUUCCUCAACUGCAUGCCUUCGGUGCUAUUUGUCAGUAAGAUAGCUUUCUCUCCUGUUUUUUCACUAGGAUUCCCAUCCCUACACAAGGAGUAUGCCCUGGCAUUGUUGAGUGGGACACCAAACACCAGAGGACAAUAGGAAUCCCAGUCAACUCCCUGGGCCAGGCCCCAAACUGCACAUGAUCAGAAUGCAAUCAAGUCGCGGAAUAUUUGAAGAAGCCUUGUUCUGAGUUCAGCCCCUUUCCAUGCACAAAAUGGGAUCGGAAAGUACAGGGUCCCUUCCCACAUGGAUUCUUCCAUCCCAAUGGAGGUAGGAAAACUGAGUUUCUGAGAGCUUAUGUGAUGCAGCCAGAGCUGCAGGACUGGUAAUGGCAUCACCAGGAUGCACCUCAGGAUGUCUGCCUCCAAGCCCCGCACUCCUCCGGCCCCCCACUGCCUGCCAUCUCCCUGAGAAAUCCCCUCCAGAGGCUGUGCAGAGUUCCUCUCCGCAGAGCACAGGAACAGAGAAUUCCAAGGUUGGAAAGGACCUGCUGCAUUUCCCACACAAGGCAGGAACCCCUCCGACAAUAUUCCUGGCGGAUGCAUGUCCUGUUUCCCGGAAGAGGAAGUGAGAGGAACCAACAUUAACAAGGCCAGGAAGGAGUGUAUUAUCUAGGUGGCAUUUGUCUACAAAAAAGCACAAGUUCUGACCUGACUGGACUAAACCAUAAGGAAAACUCAUCUACAUAACAAGAAGUCCAGCGCCAGUUAAUUCAGUGGCUCCAUGACGUCAUCAGCGACCCAGGUUCUUUCCCGCAUACAGCUCGGCCCCCCGUCAGGGGGUCGGUGUUUCUCCACACGGGCUUGCAAUGGCUGCUUCCGUUCCAGGCUUCAUAGGCAGCCUCAGUGAUAGCCAGUGGAGGGCGGACAGGUUUUUUUGGACAGAGGCUCAUGGCCACCCUGAAGCCACGACUCACAGGCAAAGGGAAUGAGAUCACCAGAAAGACUGGCCCGAAGAGUGAGGAUUGCUCCUCCCUGAAUUAUGGAGAGGGGGCCUGGAGCCCUAAGUACAACCAGGAUUCUGUCUGCAAGGAAAAAGGAGAGGGUGGCUGGGGAGCUGACCAACUCUCUCUGAUCCUGGGGGAUGCUGUUUUCUCGAACUUGCUGGUGAAAAUCACCAAAAUUGACAACUCCAUGACUUGAACCUUUGUCUAUUGGACUUUGUCCUGCAUCUCACUCACUGCUAUAAUUCCAAGAGGGUUCAAAACCAUGCUUUACAUGUAGAUGGUGCACAACCAACCAGCUUGGUUUAAUGCAACAAACAUAGAGGUUGCUUCCUACGUGCCAAGUGGUUGGUAAUACGCUGGAGAUACAGCGGUGACCAAGGCAGAGCUUGAGCUUAUCAUCUGGUACCUUGUAGUUAUCAUCAUUAUCAUCAUCAUUAUUAUUAAAUAGUACUAUUCUUGUUAUUUUCAACCAACAUUUACUCAGCACACAUAAUAUGCUAGACAUUUUGGAAAUAUAGAACAUUCAUGCCAGGGCUCGGGAUAAUUUUUGUAUCCUGUUUGGCAGAUAGGAAUGCUUAGGGACAAGGACUUACUUGCCCAAAGUCUCACAGUUCAUGGGUGUCAGACCCAAGAACAAAUUCAGGUGUACCUAAGUCAGAGACCACCUUCUUUCUACCAACUGUAUUCUCUGUCCCUCUCAACCUACUAAACGCUCUAGUUUACCAAUUUAAAAAAAAACUGUAAUAUUAAGCCAGUAUAUGGAUAUGUAGGUCCCAAAAGUUAUCAUAAGACCUAUUUUUGUCUCUCCUUGUCUUUUUUGCUCUAGUCAGUGGAGAUUGCCCCUCCCCUACCAGGACAUGCAAAAUUGGGCAGUUUUAUCAUUUUCUUCUGACUUCUAGUACCUCACUUUUUUUUUUUUAAGAUUUUAUUUAUUUAUUUGACAGAGAGAGACAUAGAGAGAGCAAGAACACAAGCAGGGGGAGCGGGAGAGGGAGAAGCAGGCUUCCCGCGGAGCAGGGAGCCCGAUGUGGGGCUCGAUCCCAGGAUCCUGGAAUCAUGACCUGAGCCAAAGGCGGACGCUUAACAACUGAGCCACCCAGGCGCCCUCACAUUACGUUUCUAACAAAAUAAUCAAGAGAUUAAAAUGUCUCCUCUCCCUCGGCUGAAGACCUUGCCAGGAAGAACUCACCGUCAGGGAAGUGGGACGCUUCUUCUCUCUUUACUUUUUAGAUAAUGAAUUUUCCUCAGGUCAUUCCAUUUCCGGAAUCCAGCAAUUCCUCCAUUUUGAAUGUUAGACCUUUGUUACCAGCAGCCUUCUGGAGCUGCCUCAGGAUGAUCCAGAGAACAUGUUCGAAGAUGCCACAGGUGAAAAUAAAAGUCAUUUGUUAACCAGCUUUGCUCAGAAGUGUCCUUCUUGACACAUCAUGUGGUUCAGGAUCCCACAGCUCCACUAUGAAUCCACCCUCCUCUUUGUCACCAACACUUGUUGGUGCAAAGCUCAAGCUCUGCCUUUUUUGCUGGGUGUUGCUGAGGUGCACUCUGCUCAGAGUCCAUCUCCCUGUCUGGGUUGAGGAUGCUUUUUGCCCUAAACCAGAUUUGCUGCCAUCCUCCUGGGAGCCCAGAAUUUGGGAGAUAGGCAGUGAGCCAUCUAGCCCAGGAAGGCUAUUUUAAAGAAAUUAUAAGAAAUUCAAUAAAGGGGUGUUUGGGUGGCUCAGUCGGUUAAGCAUCUGCCUUUGGCUUAAGUUGUGGGAUCGAGCCCCAUGUCAGGCUCCCUGCUCAGCGGGAAGCCUGCUUCUCCCUCCCUCUCCCCUGCUUCUCCCUCCCUCUCCCCUGCUUGUGCUCUCUCUUGCUCUCUCUCUCUCUCUCUCAAAUAAAUAAAUAAAAUCUUAAAAGAAAAAGAAAUUCAAUAAAGCAGCCCUUCCUAAGCCUGUCAUUUUUUCCAUAUACUGUACCCAUCCACUCUACCUUCUCUCAUCUGGGUCUCAGUUUCCUCCCUUUUGUUUGCCUUAGUUUUUCUUGUCCCAGUCUCUUUUCCUGGACUCUAAAUAAGGCCUUCUUACCCAUAGCCAGUGCUAUAGCCUAGCAAGAAUCAGCAGAGGCCUGAGGUUCAGGUCACAGGUUCAAAUCCAGCUGUGAGUCCUAAGGUAAGAGACUCAACCUUUCUAAGACCCAAUUUUCUCUUUAGUAAAAUAGGGAUGAUAGUUCCUAGCUCAUAGUGCUGUCGGUGGAUUAAGUGGGAUCUUUUGUGUAGGAAGCCUGGCAUAUUGUCAGAUACACAAUCCAUAGUAGUCAGCCCCACACCACAUAGCCCACCUAAGUAGACUCACUCAAUAGAGGUUUCUUGAAUUAAUCUGAAAUAAACAUUUUCUAGAUUUCCAGGCUGCCCUGGAAGGUUUCCUCUACCACCCUUAUCUCGGCUUAAAAAAAAAAAAAAUCAGAAGCAGGGUGCCCAGGUGGCACAGCUGGUGGAUCGUGUGACUCUUGAUCUCGGGGCUGUGGGUUCAAGCCCCAGGUUGAUUGUAGAGAUUACUUUAAAAAUUUUUAAGAAAUUAAAUUUUUUUUAAAAAAUCAGAAGCUUGAAAGUGGAGGAGGGACCAGAGAGAGGGCAAUGAAGUAAGCCGGAUGCUAGAAGCCCAGAUUGCCUUUGGCUCAGUCUGGAUUUGAGGGAAACCUGGAAUUACUGCGAUUUCAUCACAGCAGCUGGUCCAAGAUAAACCUGCCAGAACCGCUCAGAGGCCAGAUCUGGAUUGCAGUGAUAGCUGGGGCCUGCUGAGAAGCAAGGAAAAACUAUUUAUCUGACAUUUUUUCAACCCCAACCAAGAAUCUUCUUUGGCUCGAGAUGCUGCUGGGACCGGUUUUCAUUUGCAUGGAGCUCAUCUGAGGAUCUGCGCCUCUGACGGUGGAGACUUCUUAGAAAGACUUCCAUUCCCCUGCCUCCUUUCCUCGUGUGCUUUCUCAUGAUUCAGAAAUAAUUACCCAUCCAGGAAAACUAAUCCCUGAGUCUUACUUGUGCAUGGAUUUUGCCAGAACCUCACAUAUAGGUUCUCUCUGAUUCAACUCCACACAUAGCCUGUGUGGGCCUGAGCAUCAGCAAAGAUGGCCGCCAGAGAACAUUUGCCCUUCUUCCAAAUUGGCAGCCUUCUUCAUCUCAUUGAAGCCAUGUUAACUGAUGUGGUACAUUUUAAUACAUUUCACCGUCUCAAGCUGUGGCAGCAAAUUUAGAGUGUGAAUCUUCCUAACAGCUGCUCCUAGAGUGGCUGUCUGGAAUCUCUGCAUCCUUGACCUGUUGGUGUCAACCAAAGAAAAACUUGUCCCUGUAUUAUAUAUCUUGGGGGGAGGGGGGGCUUAAGACAAGCCCGUCUGAGCUAAAAUACCACCGUUCUUAUAAUAUUAUGAAGACUCUACACUUUUCAAACAGGUAGCAUUUGGGGAGUGGUAUAAAUAUUCUAGGAAUUAAAAGAGUGAGUUUUUUUGAGAAAACGAUCCAGAAUGUGUCCAAUCAGAUCAGCAUUAUCUGCCUCCAAUCAGGUACUUUAUUCUGAUGAUAUUGCCUUAGGAGCCUUUUGCAUGCCUUUGGUUUAUCAUCCUUAGUCAGAGCUAGGCACAUGGAUGGUCUUGGCUGCAUUAUUGCCAUGGCCAAAGAUCAGACACAAGUGUUCAUUGAUAGGGGACUAGCUAAAUCAAUUAGGAUACCACAUCCAGUCAAUAGAAUGGCAUAUAAUCAUUUAAAAAAAAAAAAGUGAUAAUCCGAAGGAGCACCUGCACCCCAGUGUUUAUAGCAGCAAUGUCCACAAUAGCCAAACUAUGGAAAGAGCCCAGAUGUCCAUCGACAGAUGAAUGGAUAAAGAAGAUGAGGGAUAUAGAUAUACAAUGGAAUAUUACACAGCCAUCAAAAAAUCUUGCCAUUUGCAACAACAUGGAUGGAGCUAGAGGGUAUUAUGCUAAGCGAAAUAAGUCAAUCAGAGAAAGACAAUUAUCAUAUGAUCUCACUGAUAUGUGGAAUUUAAGAAAUAAAACAGAGGGGGGUGCCUGGGUGGCUCAGGCGUUAAGCGUCUGCCUUCGGCUCAGGUCAUGGUCCCAGGGUCCUGGGAUCAAGCCCCACAUCGGGCUCCCUGCUCCCCAGGAAGCCUGCUUCUCCCUCUCCCACUCCCCCUGCUUGUGUUCCCUCUCUCGCUGUAUCUCUCUCUGUCAAAUAAAUAAAAUCUUUAAAAAAAAAAAAA